UUUUCAAUUUAGUGGCGCACGGGUGAGUAACGCGUAGAUAAUCUGCCUGAUGAUCUGGGAUAACACUUCGAAAGAGGUGCUGAUACCGGAUAAGCCCACGGAGUCUUUGGACUCUGCGGGAAAAGGGGGGGACCUUCGGGCCUUCUGUCAUCAGAUGAGUCUGCGUACCAUUAGCUAGUUGGUAGGGUAAUGGCCUACCAAGGCUACGAUGGUUAGCUGGUCUGAGAGGAUGAUCAGCCACACUGGAACUGAGACACGGUCCAGACUCCUACGGGAGGCAGCAGUGGGGAAUUUUGCGCAAUGGGCGAAAGCCUGACGCAGCAACGCCGCGUGAGUGAUGAAGGCUUUCGGGUCGUAAAGCUCUGUCGAGGGGAAAGAAGUGUAUUUUGGCUAAUAUCCAGAAUACUUGACGGUACCCCUAAAGGAAGCACCGGCUAACUCCGUGCCAGCAGCCGCGGUAAUACGGGGGGUGCAAGCGUUGUUCGGAAUUAUUGGGCGUAAAGCGCGUGUAGGCGGUCUGAUUAGUCUGAUGUGAAAGCCCUGGGCUCAACCCAGGAAGUGCAUUGGAUACUGUCAGACUUGAAUACGGGAGAGGGUAGUGGAAUUCCUAGUGUAGGAGUGAAAUCCGUAGAUAUUAGGAGGAACACCGGUGGCGAAGGCGGCUACCUGGACCGAUAUUGACGCUGAGACGCGAAAGCGUGGGUAGCAAACAGGAUUAGAUACCCUGGUAGUCCACGCCGUAAACGAUGAGUACUAGGUGUUGCGGGUAUUGACCCCUGCAGUGCCGCAGCUAACGCAUUAAGUACUCCGCCUGGGAAGUACGGUCGCAAGACUAAAACUCA
rnacentral:rRNA from 1 species